rnacentral:rRNA from 1 species
AGAGUUUGAUCCUGGCUCAGGACGAACGCUGACGGUGUGCUUUAGGCAUGCAAGUCGAACGAGAAAGCCCUUCGGGGUGAGUAAAGUGGCGAACGGGUGAGUAACACGUGGGCAACCUGCCCCUCGCAGGGGGACAACCGGAGGAAACUCCGGCUAAUACCCCGUACGCUUGUUGGAUCGCAUGGUCCGGCAAGGAAAGGUAGCUUCGGCCAUCCGGCGAGGGAUGGGCCCGCGUUGCAUUAGCUAGUUGGUAGGGUAACGGCCUACCAAGGCGACGAUGCGUAGCUGGUCUGAGAGGAUGAUCAGCCACACUGGGACUGAGACACGGCCCAGACUCCUACGGGAGGCAGCAGCCAGGAAUCUUGGGCAAUGGGCGAAAGCCUGACCCAGCAACACCGUGUGGGUGAUGAAGGCCUUAGGGUCGUAAAGCCCUGUUGAUAGGGACGAAGGGCGAAGGGUUAAUAGCCCCUAGCUUGACGGUACCUUUCGAGGAAGCCCCGGCUAACUACGUGCCAGCAGCCGCGGUAAUACGUAGGGGGCGAGCGUUGUCCGGAAUUAUUGGGCGUAAAGAGCGUGUAGGCGGUUCGGUAAGUCUGCUGUGAAAUCCUGGGGCUCAACCCUGGGCGUGCAGCGGAUACUGCCGGGCUAGAGGGUGGUAGAGGCGAGUGGAAUUCCGAGUGUAGCGGUGAAAUGCGCAGAUAUUCGGAGGAACACCAGUAGCGAAGGCGGCUCGCUGGGCCACACCUGACGCUGANNNNCGAAAGCGUGGGGAGCGAACAGGAUUAGAUACCCUAGUAGUCC